rnacentral:lncRNA from 1 species
AGGAGUGGAUGGAAAAUACCUUGUUGCCUCUGCCUUCGUAUCUCUAUCAGGCUUAUGAGCAGCAACACCAGCAGAUGAUAAUGGGUUGCUGUUGUUCUCCUUUACCGCCGAUGCCUGUUGAUCCAUCUUCCUAUCCUCCUGACGUCGCCCUUCAGAGAAAUUCUUCUUCUAUUUUGAAAGGGUAUUUGGUUCGUAACCGAAAUCGAAAUAAAAAUGAGAAUCGAAAUGACUUGAAAUCGAAAUCGAAAUGGCC